UGAAGAUGUUUAUCAGGAUAGAGAAUGUUAAUAUGAGUUGAGCCCAAUGGGUGCAUUUCUAUCCAUGUCCCCCUAAUUGGUCGAUUAGCCACCGCUAUACGGCUUGCAGUCUAAGUACGAGUGUGAAAUGAUUAAUUAGAUCGACUACUGAUGAGCACUUAGGCGGUGCGAUGUCCGACCGUUGUUGUCGCGUCGCUGCAAUAACCUGGCUGGCUGGACAACUGCGAGAUGCAGCGCACUGUCGCCACUCGCAUCGGAUGAUAGACGAGGAACGUGACAGAGUUGGUAGUCGUGAUAUGGAAAGAGCUAAUUUCUGAUUAUCGUGUCAAACAAAUAGACGUCUGCCCUUAUUAUCCAUAUUAGGGAGCAUUCAUUGAGCACGUAAGCACUUCAUGCGGCGAGAGUUUCUUGUGAUCAAAUUGUACUAUAGUAACAAUUGCAUACCAUAGAAAUGGGGGGAAAUAUUUAACAGUCACGAUAAAUGGGCUUCGUCUGGAUAUGUUUCUAGCAUUGGCAAUUACAUUUCAUCACAUCGUUCUGAGGAGCGCGGGUUCAAUUCCAGCCGUAACUGUUAGGAAAAGUUUUCGGCUGUGCCACUGGGUGUUGCAGGCUAGACUGUUGAGCCUCCUUUAAAGAGCGAAUAGCUCACUGGAAGCAUUGAACGGGUCUGUGUCUUUUUUUUUUAAUUUCGAACUAAUUCACGUGAAAACUUGUGAACAGGGAGAUAUAAAGCCUGUAUCCGCAAUAAUCGGGACACAGAAAUACAGCUGUUACUCUGCAAUAGAUACAUUAAAAUUGUUCAAAUUUUGUCUAAUAACUUCUUAGGAUGUGUUCAUUUUACCUACAAAAUUUCAUGUGAAUCGGUGCAGUACUUUUUGUUGUAGCAACGAAAGAGUAAAAUGUGCGCCAUUGAAUUUUGUACAGCCCCUAGUUUUGCUUGUCAGCGCUGUAACUUUUGAAUUUGGCAAAGGAAAUGGCUGAAAUUUUGAAUACAAACCUCGCAAUCUACAUUUGUUGCAUAGGCAAAAUUUCAAAAAAAUCGAUACCCUAUCAACAAUUUUAUAGUCGAAACAUGUAUUGGGAAUGAACGUGAUUUUAGCCUCCCAGACACCAAUUAGUCAGCACCCUUUAUUGUUUCGAUUGUACUAUUGAAAGUACUAUACCAAUAAUCAUCAAUUUUUUUGCAGGCAUAAUAUACACUUAAUCAACUAGCUUCUGUGAAAAUUUCAUGAAAAUUGGCAGAGAAAUUCAAAAGUUAUGAAUAGGUAAAAAUCGCAUAUGAAAAACACGAAAAAUUUUCACUAACAUGUUAGUGCACUCACCCCUAUUAACACCAGCAGCUUUCGAACCAAUUGAUCAAAGUUGAUGAAAUUUUGCUAGAAAGUGUCUCUUUAAGUAUCAAAACUGCUAACGAAAUUUCAUAAUUAUCAUCACAGAACUUUGAACUGUAGCGUAACAGAACCAUCUACUAUGCGAAUGAAAAUUGGCCAUGAUUGUACAAAAUGCUUAAAACCACGUCUGUUUGUUUUCAAAAUAAAAUUAACCAGUCACUCUUGACUGGAAAGUUAUGUAACUGUUCGAAACAUGAUAUAGUUAAAAAAAGUUCAUUUUAUGAUGAAAUAUUCAUUUAUUGUGAUAGAAAUCACUUAUUUCAAAUGAAAUUGCUUACCUUUAGGCAUUUAAGGGGAAAUUUUAUUUUGCAUUUUAACCCUCAAGCGAUCCCGCUGUUGUAUUUUGU